GGUCGAUUUGGGGAGCCGGCGCGCGGUGGAACCAAAGCGCGAGACCUCCUGAACAGCUUCGCCGCAGGCUGCGAGUCAUCUUGCAAAGCAUGGAAUUUACAGUAAGGUAGCGAAGGCUUCUGUUCCUUCUGCUGCAAAAGCAACUACUGGUGCAGGUAGCGGUCUUCCAGCUAUACGACAGAAAUACCGGUCGAGCUUUGUUCGGGGCCUACGCUCUGAAGCUAGAGAGUUUAAUAGCAGCGAUCCAGAAAGCAUUAUAUACAACUUU